rnacentral:tRNA from 1 species
GCCGCCCUAGCUCACUAGGCAGAGCGCGUCCUUGGUAAGGACGAGGUAACGGGUUCGACUCCCGUGGGUGGCUCCA